AGAUUAAGUUAUUAAGGGCGCACGGUGGAUGCCUUGGCACUAGAAGCCGAUGAAGGACGUUACUAACGACGAUAUGCUUUGGGGAGCUGUAAGUAAGCUUUGAUCCAGAGAUUUCCGAAUGGGGAAACCCAGCAUGAGUUAUGUCAUGUUAUCGAUAUGUGAAUACAUAGCAUAUCAGAAGGCACACCCGGAGAACUGAAACAUCUUAGUACCCGGAGGAAGAGAAAGAAAAUUCGAUUCCCUUAGUAGCGGCGAGCGAAACGGGAAGAGCCCAAACCAAAAAGCUUGCUUGUUGGGGUUGUAGGACACUCUGUACGGAGUUACAAAGGACGACAUUAGACGAAUCAUCUGGAAAGAUGAAUCAAAGAAGGUAAUAAUCCUGUAGUCGAAAAUGUUGUCUCUCUUGAGUGGAUCCUGAGUACGACGGAGCACGUGAAAUUCCGUCGGAAUCUGGGAGGACCAUCUCCUAAGGCUAAAUACUCUCUAGUGACCGAUAGUGAACCAGUACCGUGAGGGAAAGGUGAAAAGCACCCCGGAAGGGGAGUGAAAUAGAACCUGAAACCGUGUGCUUACAAGUAGUCAGAGCCCGUUAAUGGGUGAUGGCGUGCCUUUUGUAGAAUGAACCGGCGAGUUACGAUUUGAUGCAAGGUUAAGCAGUAAAUGUGGAGCCGUAGCGAAAGCGAGUCUGAAUAGGGCGUUUAGUAUUUGGUCGUAGACCCGAAACCAGGUGAUCUACCCUUGGUCAGGUUGAAGUUCAGGUAACACUGAAUGGAGGACCGAACCGACUUACGUUGAAAAGKGAGCGGAUGAACUGAGGGUAGCGGAGAAAUUCCAAUCGAACCUGGAGAUAGCUGGUUCUCUCCGAAAUAGCUUUAGGGCUAGCCUCAAGUGAUGAUUAUUGGAGGUAGAGCACUGUUUGGACGAGGGGCCCCUCUCGGGUUACCGAAUUCAGACAAACUCCGAAUGCCAAUUAAUUUAACKUGGGAGUCAGAACAUGGGUGAUAAGGUCCGUGUUCGAAAGGGAAACAGCCCAGACCACCAGCUAAGGUCCCAAAAUAUAUGUUAAGUGGAAAAGGAUGUGGCGUUGCCCAGACAACUAGGAUGUUGGCUUAGAAGCAGCCAUCAUUUAAAGAGUGCGUAAUAGCUCACUAGUCGAGUGACACUGCGCCGAAAAUGUACCGGGGCUAAACAUAUUACCGAAGCUGUGGAUUGUCCUUUGGACAAUGGUAGGAGAGCGUUCUAAGGGCGUUGAAGCAUGAUCGUAAGGACAUGUGGAGCGCUUAGAAGUGAGAAUGCCGGUGUGAGUAGCGAAAGACGGGUGAGAAUCCCGUCCACCGAUUGACUAAGGUUUCCAGAGGAAGGCUCGUCCGCUCUGGGUUAGUCGGGUCCUAAGCUGAGGCCGACAGGCGUAGGCGAUGGAUAACAGGUUGAUAUUCCUGUACCACCUAUAAUCGUUUUAAUCGAUGGGGGGACGCAGUAGGAUAGGCGAAGCGUGCGAUUGGAUUGCACGUCUAAGCAGUAAGGCUGAGUAUUAGGCAAAUCCGGUACUCGUUAAGGCUGAGCUGUGAUGGGGAGAAGACAUUGAGUCUUCGAGUCGUUGAUUUCACACUGCCGAGAAAAGCCUCUAGAUAGAAAAUAGGUGCCCGUACCGCAAACCGACACAGGUAGUCAAGAUGAGAAUUCUAAGGUGAGCGAGCGAACUCUCGUUAAGGAACUCGGCAAAAUGACCCCGUAACUUCGGGAGAAGGGGUGCUCUUUAGGGUUAACGCCCAGAAGAGCCGCAGUGAAUAGGCCCAAGCGACUGUUUAUCAAAAACACAGGUCUCUGCUAAACCGUAAGGUGAUGUAUAGGGGCUGACGCCUGCCCGGUGCUGGAAGGUUAAGAGGAGUGGUUAGCUUCUGCGAAGCUACGAAUCGAAGCCCCAGUAAACGGCGGCCGUAACUAUAACGGUCCUAAGGKAGCGAAAUUCCUUGUCGGGUAAGUUCCGACCCGCACGAAAGGCGUAACGAUUUGGGCACUGUCUCAACGAGAGACUCGGUGAAAUCAUAGUACCUGUGAAGAUGCAGGUUACCCGCGACAGGACGGAAAGACCCCGUGGAGCUUUACUGUAGCCUGAUAUUGAAAUUCGGCACAGCUUGUACAGGAUAGGUAGGAGCCUUUGAAACGUGAGCGCUAGCUUACGUGGAGGCGCUGGUGGGAUACUACCCUAGCUGUGUUGGCUUUCUAACCCGCACCACUUAUCGUGGUGGGAGACAGUGUCAAGCGGGCAGUUUGACUGGGGCGGUCGCCUCCUAAAAGGUAACGGAGGCGCUCAAAGGUUCCCUCAGAAUGGUUGGAAAUCAUUCAUAGAGUGUAAAGGCAUAAGGGAGCUUGACUGCGAGACCUACAAGUCGAGCAGGGUCGAAAGACGGACUUAGUGAUCCGGUGGUUCCGCAUGGAAGGGCCAUCGCUCAACGGAUAAAAGCUACCCCGGGGAUAACAGGCUUAUCUCCCCCAAGAGUUCACAUCGACGGGGAGGUUUGGCACCUCGAUGUCGGCUCAUCGCAUCCUGGGGCUGUAGUCGGUCCCAAGGGUUGGGC
rnacentral:rRNA from 1 species